GAGCGGCGCGUUGGAGCGGGUGAAUGGAUGACGUCGGGAGACUGGCGCCAGGCUGUCUGGGACGGGCGCGUUAGAUCAACACAGCUGGGGUGGAAUAGGACACACAGCUGGGCGAGGGUACAUUCCUCCACAAAACACGAUUGUGAGAAAAAGGAAAAUAAGACCAAAUAGGAACAGAGGGGACACGGUUUGACAAAAAAAAAAUGCAGGAGUUAAAAAGAAAGAGAAGAAUAUGCAACUUAUUUUGAGUUAGGGUUCAUCCCGAAUUGUAUUCACAAUAACAUAACCGAAUGUUGUUCUCCUCUGUCAUGGUUAACUGCAGAUUUCAUAUUUGUUUGGAUUUCGUUUUUUUUUUUAUCUUUAUUUUAUUUGACAUUAAAAAGAAAAAAUAAGAUGAAUUGAUAGUGGUAUAGACAAAGUCCAGCUAGGCAUAUACAACAGAGUUUCUUAUUUCUUAUGAUAAUAAUAUGAUUAGCUAAUAAUAACAAGUUCAAAACUGUUAUUCACAAUGAAGGGAGUUUGCACUUUCAAGAACUCAUGUAUGGCAUUCAACUGUUUGGAUAACUUAUCUAGGCUUCUUGAAUCUAUUGCUAAUGAAAAUGACUGUUGUAUCCCUAUCCUCCUAGCCUACAUCUUUUGGGUGAAGAAAUGUGAAAACCAUUACUUUUUAUAAGGCUUAUAAUUACAGGAUUUUCAAGCUUAUCUUCUCUGUCUGUCUGCCUGCCUGCCGCUUGACAAGUCUUAAAAUCAUGUGAUGCCAAAAGAGGUAGAAAAAUGAUUCCUGACGCCAGAAUGUCUGCAACGUCAUGAGAGGAACACGUUGGCGUGAAACCCGUAACGGUAACGUGUGGCUUCAAUUUGAUAAAGGAAGAAGAUCCAGAGAGUCUAUGUCAGUGAGCAAAACAGACAUAUUUACGUCUAUUAACCAAGUUGAAUGUUUCUUGUUGGAUAGUUUAUGUAUUCAGUGCUCACCAAAAUUAUGUUUUCUUGAUUGUAGCCUAAUAUCUGAAAUGAGGUGGGUAAUUGCCCAUAGGAUUGACUAGCAUCAUUGCUUGAAUUUCUCAUUCCAUCUGCCCCCACCCCUACCUCGCCCCGGUAGGUGACGUUUGAACAGCCAAUCAUAAACCCCGAGCUUCUCAGAACAACCAGGAAGUCUCUACAGUGGCUAAUCAGAGCACGAGGGUGUAUUUAUUUGUGAGAAUGGGCGGCGACUGACUAACAAGGGUGUAUAAAGCCAUCCUCACACCCACACCGAAGUACUGUAGCUGGUUGUUGCCUUAGCGUCUCACUUUAUUUCACAUUGAUUAACUAAUUGUAGGCUACUUUAAAAACAUGAAAGCCAUCAGUCCUAUGAGAUCUGUCAGAAGCUGCUACGAAGCUGUCCGCUGCAUUUCGGAUCAGAGUCUCUCCAUCACCCGGAAUAAGCCAUCUAUGGAGGAAUCCGUGGGCGCGCUGUGCGAUAUGAAUGACUGCUACUCCAAACUGAAGGAGCUGGUACCGAGCAUCCCACAGAACAAGUCCGUCAGCCAAGUGGAAAUUCUGCAACACGUUAUCGACUACAUAUUCGACCUACAAAUCGCGUUGGAAGACGAGUCUUCAGCGACAACCACGCCUGAUUUGGUGCUGUCACUAAAGAAUGCAGACCUUGCACGCAAUUUCUCCCAAGAAGAUGGACGGUUGUGCCGUUAAAGAGGAGGAAUAGGCCUAUAACGUCCAUAAAUGGUGCAGAGAAACACAUCUCCAAUUCACUCUGGGCAAGAGGGCCAGAAAGAAGGUCUGGGAUAGGUAUUUAGAGUGGGAGAGAAGAGGACUCUUUAGUUCUCAGAUCUGGGUAAGAGGGCCAGAAAGAAGGUCUGGGACAGGUAUUUAGAGUGGGAGAGAAGAGGACUCUUUAGUUCUCAGAUCUGGGCAAGAGGACAAGAGGGCAAGAAAGAAGGUCUGGGACAGGUAUUUAGAGUGGGAGAGAAGAGGACUCUUUAGUUCUCAGAUGGAUGGAUGGAUCACCCUCUUGUUUUCUGUUCUCUUGUCAGCAGAAGUGACAUAAACAACACACACCAAAGCAGAAAAAUAUUUGAAUUGACUCUGUUUCUGUCCCUCUCCCUGUCUCUCUCUCUCUCUACUUGUUCCUCUCAGUUGUGGUUUUGUAUCCCUCUGAAUGUAUCGAUACAUCAAGCUUUGUUGAUUUAUCUUUUUGUGUUACAUUCCAAACCAAACCUUUUGGAUUGACCUUCCAAUAUUUUGUUACAACCCCCCCCCCAAUCCUUCCUCCCUUCCCUCCUCUCCUAGCCAGUCCUAAAACUCUAUCACUUAAUUCUCUCUUCAUAUCCUCUGUUAUCUUAUAAUUUGAAGGUUUUCAGAACUUGGUCAAAUUGUGUAAAGAUCUAAUUUGGUCACUGUGAACUCUGAAAGAGAUGGGUUAAAUGAGUUUGGUCUUGUGCGGGGGUCCUUGGAUAUAAUCACAACUCUGUAAUAGAGUUGAUUGUAAAUGUUUGUAGGGAUUGUUUAUUUCUACGGACAAUGUCAAAUAAUUGCUGAGUUUUAUAAACUUUUUUUUCUUUUUUAAAAAUCAAAGUCUGGGUUGUAUGUACGUUCUUAUGUAAUAAAAUGAAGAAAUGUCGUGAACGUUC